UAAUACGGAGGGUGCAAGCGUUAUCCGGAUUCACUGGGUUUAAAGGGUGCGUAGGCGGGUAUGUAAGUCAGUGGUGAAAUACCGGAGCUUAACUUCGGAACUGCCAUUGGUACUAUAUAUCUUGAAUAUUGUGGAGGUAAGCGGAAUAUGUCAUGUAGCGGUGAAAUGCUUAGAGAUGACAUAGAACACCGAUUGCGAAGGCAGCUUGCUACGCAAAUAUUGACGCUGAGGCACGAAAGCGUGGGGAUCAAACAGG
rnacentral:rRNA from 1 species